rnacentral:rRNA from 1 species
GCGUUUCGGCGUAUUGUGUCACGCGUCCUCUUGUUGUGUCCAAUAGCGUUGAUUUGCACUUCUCCCCUAGUAGAACGUCGCGACCCGUUGGGUGUCGGCCUACGGUACGGCACAGGUAGCCUCUAGCGUCGCGUCAUGCGCGUACACUGUAGACCGCCGUGAUACCCGGCCGGCUGCCCGGCGGUAUAAGUCAUCGAACCGAUUGACAAUGGUAACGGGCCGCACAAUAUCGAAUUGUUCAUCCAAUCGUGUUUAGUGCGUUCAGGUUCGUCGGCAGGUCACCCGUGCAUGGAUUUACGAACCUAGUGUCGUAUUCUGAUCGGUUGUGACUGUUAGUCGACGAUGUCCUCGGACGGGCUCUUGCGUCAUACGUUUUUAACGUAUGACGUUUUACCGGUCGGCGACGCUACUGCUUUGGGUACUUUCAGGACCCGUCUUGAAACACGGACCAAGGAGUCUAACAUGUGCGCGAGUCAUUGGGUUAUUGUUAAAUGUGAAUAAGCCUAAAGGCGCAAUGAAAGUGAAGGUCGGACGCAGCGUCGAUCGAGGGAGGAUGGAAUGAGUUCGCUCACCCCCGCACUCCCGGGGCGUCUCUAGGUCGUUUCGACCAUAGGCGCACCCAGAGCGUACACGUUGGGACCCGAAAGAUGGUGAACUAUGCCUGGUCAGGACGAAGUCAGGGGAAACCCUGAUGGAGGUCCGUAGCGAUUCUGACGUGCAAAUCGAUCGUCGGAACUGGGUAUAGGGGCGAAAGACUAAUCGAACCAUCUAGUAGCUGGUUCCCUCCGAAG